rnacentral:rRNA from 1 species
UUUAUGGAGAGUUUGAUCCUGGCUCAGAGUGAACGCUGGCGGCGUGCCUAAUACAUGCAAGUCGAACGAUGAAGCCUUUAGCUUGCUAGAGGUGGAUUAGUGGCGCACGGGUGAGUAACGCAUAGAUAACAUGCCCUUUAGUCUGGGAUAGCCACUGGAAACGGUGAUUAAUACUAGAUACUCCCUACGGGGGAAAGAGGCACUCAAAAAUGCUCUUAGAAAUGCACUUAGCUAGGCUCAUAGAGUGUGAUAAGUGUAGGGUUGGAUUCUGCAAGUUUAUUUAUAUAAAUGCAGGAGAAUCUAGCACUACAAUGAUUAUGCUAUAUGUAGCUUAUAAAUGUAUUUUUAAGAGUAUUUUUGAGUGCUUUCGCUAAAGGAUUGGUCUAUGUCCUAUCAGCUUGUUGGUGAGGUAAUGGCUCACCAAGGCUAUGACGGGUAUCCGGCCUGAGAGGGUGAACGGACACACUGGAACUGAGACACGGUCCAGACUCCUACGGGAGGCAGCAGUAGGGAAUAUUGCUCAAUGGGGGAAACCCUGAAGCAGCAACGCCGCGUGGAGGAUGAAGGUUUUAGGAUUGUAAACUCCUUUUGUUAGAGAAGAUUAUGACGGUAUCUAACGAAUAAGCACCGGCUAACUCCGUGCCAGCAGCCGCGGUAAUACGGAGGGUGCAAGCGUUACUCGGAAUCACUGGGCGUAAAGAGUGCGCAGGCGGGAUAGCAAGUCAGAUGUGAAAUACUAUGGCUUAACCAUAGAACUGCAUUUGAAACUGUUAUUCUAGAGUGUGGGAGAGGUAGGUGGAAUUCUUGGUGUAGGGGUAAAAUCCGUAGAGAUCAAGAGGAAUACUCAUUGCGAAGGCGACCUACUGGAACAUUACUGACGCUCAUGCACGAAAGCGUGGGGAGCAAACAGGAUUAGAUACCCUGGUAGUCCACGCCCUAAACGAUGAAUGCUAGUUGUUGUGAGGCUUGUCCUUGCAGUAAUGCAGCUAACGCAUUAAGCAUUCCGCCUGGGGAGUACGGUCGCAAGAUUAAAACUCAAAGGAAUAGACGGGGACCCGCACAAGCGGUGGAGCAUGUGGUUUAAUUCGAGGAUACGCGAAGAACCUUACCUAGGCUUGACAUUGAUAGAAUCUGCUAGAGAUAGCGGAGUGCUGGCUUGCCAGAGCUUGAAAACAGGUGCUGCACGGCUGUCGUCAGCUCGUGUCGUGAGAUGUUGGGUUAAGUCCCGCAACGAGCGCAACCCUCGUCCUUAGUUGCUAGCAGUUCGGCUGAGCACUCUAGGGAGACUGCCUUCGUAAGGAGGAGGAAGGUGAGGACGACGUCAAGUCAUCAUGGCCCUUACGCCUAGGGCUACACACGUGCUACAAUGGGGUGCACAAAGAGCUGCAAUAUCGUAAGAUGGAGCUAAUCUCAAAAACACCUCUCAGUUCGGAUUGUAGUCUGCAACUCGACUACAUGAAGCUGGAAUCGCUAGUAAUCGCAAAUCAGCAAUGUUGCGGUGAAUACGUUCCCGGGUCUUGUACUCACCGCCCGUCACACCAUGGGAGUUGUAUUCGCCUUAAGUCGGGAUACUAAAUUGGUUACCGCCCACGGCGGAUGCAGCGACUGGGGUGAAGUCGUAACAAGGUAACCGUAGGAGAACCUGCGGUUGGAUCACCUCCUUUCAGA